UCCCUUUUUUGUAUGCCUCUUAUUCUCCAUUAUACCACUGUAUUCUUUUUUUUUAAAAUAUUUCAGGGAGGUAUGAUGCUCUUCCUUUUUGUUGCUCCAUUUGAAACAACAU
rnacentral:ribozyme from 1 species